CAGCUCUUUGCCACGGCAUCUGACCUCCAGCCAGCCCCAGCCUGUGGCCAGGAAGAAGGAAAAAAAUACUAAUUUUGAAAGUGCUGGCUUUCCAGUGCAAGUGCGAAGCACAUGAGGAAAUGAGAGUCUUUCCGGACUCCAUGGAGUAGGCACCGUGGAAGACUGCAGCAGAGCGGCAGCAGCUUACCUCCCCUAGAGGAGAGGUUCGAGGGAAAUCACAGAAGAGAAGGAAGUUAUAGCAGGAGCAGAACAGAUGAAGCAUCUACCUCCAUCACCACCACCCUCCAUGAAGCUCAGAGUGCAUUGGAAAGUUAUCCAUUAAACAGUGGGUGUCCCUCAACAAACCUGACUAUUCAGCAAGCUUGCCAGGUUGUUCUACCAGUUCCAUGGCACUCGGAAUGUGGCAGAGAGUC